rnacentral:tRNA from 1 species
CGGGGCGUAGCGUAGCCCGGUAUCGCGUCACGCUUCAGGCGUGAAGGCCGCAGGUUCAAAUCUGAGGUCACUA